CGAAACUUAUUUAUUAUAACCAGAGAGAACUAGCCAACUUAAAAUGAAAUAGGCUCCACAUUUCCUGUACUAGAAACAAAUACAUGAAGGGGUUUUUAUAUUGUCCCUAUAAAUUAUUCAUCAGGGCAAGAAAGAGAAAAAGGAGACGAAACAACAACAGUUGCGUUGCACUUUCACGAAGCCCAUUGUUUUGGGGGACGGGUAAUCCGGAUUUGGCAUUGUGCUGGCGAAAUGAAACUUAUCCGUUAUCCCCAUCUAGUGUUGGUGUCUGGGGUGUGCUAUAACAACAACCUGUUUAUGCAUAACGAUGAAGAUAAAGGAGAAAAGUGCGACGGAGCCUCCGUCAGGAAUCCCCGAUACGUAUUUGCAUAAUUAAUGGACCAAUAAACCCGAGAGAAGUUAAUUCUCUCAAUGGCACGUCGAAACAAGGAAACUGUUUGUUGCACAAAAGUCUCCGGCCAUUAAGGAAGCCGUUUAAUCUACAUUUUUACGGGAUCACGUCGAAUUAACUGAAAUUUAUUCGCUGAAAAACUAUUUCGCGAAGCUGUUCCAGAUUAUGGCUUCAUAAAUCGUCGCUGUUUAUCUCACUGUUUCAGCUCUUUAAACAGGUAUUAGAAUUACUGGCAUGCGAAGUGAUGAAGGUAAUACGUUCUUUCUGAUAUUUUGUUAACUCCAUCCCCGGAAUAAGUGUGUUAUCAGAUAAUUAUAAAGAGAUAAAAAACUGUGUCAGCGUUAAAAUAGCGGACAGUGUGUGAUAGUUAUCUGUGCUUGAAACUUGAUUUAAAAAAAUAACAUGGGUUUUUUAAUUAUCAUUAAUCAUGGAUUCGGAUAAAUAUCGACGCCUGUAGUUUUAUUGAAACGUUUUCUGAUCUGGUGGAUUUAUUUAUAUUCCCAUUAAUCUUCCACGUUGUCACAUCCAGGAAGAAUACAUUUAUCAAUCAAGAUUAAUACCGCCCCCAACAGUGAAGAUAAUAUUGAAAAAACAUUAGAAGAUUUUAUUUCUGAAAGCCCAAAUCCACUGUCGAACCCAUAAUUUAUUGAAAUGGGGUUUAAAUUGCCCCUCAUACAAUUUUGACAAAACAUAUUAAGUGUUACACGUGGAAACAAAUUUUAAACAGGAUUAACUUUGGAUGAAUAUUAUUAGGGUAUUAUAUUGGAAUAAUAUGAAAGGCUGUACGGUUUCAAUGGAUUUUAUGAUGCAAUUUUGUUUUCAUGGCUAUUUCAACGGUUUGUUUAUAUUUGCACUUUAUGUUUUAUUCCAAAUUAGUGGACACAAACGCACAUUUUUAUUACAACUUGUAAUACUUAUAAAGGGUUCUAUCAUCUAUUUAUUUUUCAAUUAAUUUUACUUAAUAUACUUCAAGAGAAACUAAUUUAAUAUUCAAUUCAUCAUAUAUCAAGUUUGAUUAAAAUUCCAGUGAAUCAAUCCUGAAUCCUUUGUAAGAUUGUAAGGAUUGUUUCUACCUUAACUUUGGUUACAGACUUUCCUCCCCCAAUAUUCAAACAACUCUGGUUUAUGUUUAUUUUUACGUUAUUUCAAAGCUGCACCCAAAACCCAUCUGAGACAAUAAAGUUUUGUAACUUCAAGAACAGAAAUAUUUGUACACUUGUAAACUGGUUCGUGUUUUAGAAUGAUUUGUACAAUAAAA